rnacentral:rRNA from 1 species
GAUUAUGGCUCAGAACGAACGCUGGCGGCAGGUCUUAGGCAUGCAAGUCGAACGGAUGACAAGAGAGCUUGCUCUCUUGAAGUCAGUGGCGCACGAGUGAGUAACGCGUGGGAAACUGCCCUUCACUGGGGAAUAACGUUUGGAAACGAACGCUAAUACCGCAUACGCCCGCAAGGGGAAAGAUUUAUCGGUGAUGGAUGUGCCCGCGUUGGAUUAGCUAGUUGGUGGGGUAAUGGCCUACCAAGGCGAUGAUCCAUAGCUGGUCUGAGAGGACGAUCAGCCACGCUGGAACUGAGACACGGUCCAGACUCCUACGGGAGGCAGCAGCUAAGAAUAUUGGGCAAUGGAGGAAACUCUGACCCAGCCAAUGCCGCGUGAAUGAAGAAGGCCUUCGGGUUGUAAAGUUCUUUUAGUCAUGAAGAUGAUGACAGUAGUGACAGAAAAAGCACCGGCUAACUUCGUGCCAGCCGCUGC